rnacentral:rRNA from 1 species
ACCCGCACAAGCAGCGGAGCGUGUGGUUUAAUUCGUUGCUACACGAAGAACCUUACCUGGGUUUGACAUAUAGGUUGUAGGGAACUGAAAAGGGACCGACCCUUCGGGAGCCUAUACAGGUGUUGCAUGGUUGUCGUCAGCUCGUGUCGUGAGAUGUUGGGUUAAGUCCCGCAACGAGCGCAACCCCUACGUUUAGUUGCUAACAGGUGAAGCUGAGCACUCUAGACGAACUGCCGUUGACAAAACGGAGGAAGGUGGGAUGACGUCAAAUCAUCAUGCCCCUUAUGUUCUGGGCUACACACGUGCUACAAUGGCCGGUACAGACGGAGGCGAAGCCGCGAGGCGGAGCAAAUCCGAAAAAGCCGGUCUCAGUUCGGAUUGCAGGCUGCAAUUCGCCUGCAUGAAGUCGGAAUCGCUAGUAAUCGCAGGUCAGCAUACUGCGGUGAAUACGUUCCCGGGCCUU